rnacentral:lncRNA from 1 species
CCUUUUCUCCCGGCCGACGGAGCUGAAGGGGCGGGGGUUCCUUCCUUGGAGUGUUUCUAGAGCUCGGAGGCUGCUGGUAGGGGGGCACCACUUUCAGAUAAAAACAUAGACCUGAAUGGCAUCAUCCAGUAUCCAAGGAAACCAUGUUCUCUAAACAUGAAUAUGCCUUUGGGGGAAGACAGAAGAACAUGGAAGCCAUGUGAAAAAAACGGAUCCUAAGGCAGUUUUGAACAUCUGGAGGCCUGAUUUAUUGGAGAUUGCAAAUGUACAGUGUAACAUAGCUGUGGAGAGCGAGAAGAUCAGGAUUGUCAAUGCUGUCAUUGCUUUUACUGGAAUCCCCAGCACGAAUUGAAGGUUUGACCAGAGACAAAGAAGCAAAUGCUAUCAAUUAACAUUCACAUGUGGUAGGUUUCGUCUCUGAAGCAACUGAACGACUCAGAGAAUGGAAGUAGGAUUCACAGAUGGGGUCCGGGGCUUUAAGAAGAGAACAGUCCUUGCACUCCUGGUGGGUGUGACUCAGAGAAGAGUACCACCCUCCACGUUUGCCCCUCUCUCCUCUCAAAAGCCCUAUAGGAAGAUAUUUGAGAGUAUGUGCAUGCAGAAUGCCCCUCCUUUUGAGCCAUUAGCUUUCCAAGAAUUUUUCAGUCCCAUGACCACUUUCUACUUCUCUCACUCUUUCACCUUUUUCUGUUAGUUAUGAGUGUUUUUACUCUCCCAAUACGUUUUACUCUUCUUCCUCCCUCUUUCUUUUCUGCCAUGAGCCACCUCCAUUUUCUUAAUUGAAUAAAAUUGGAACCUGUCAUAUAUUUAGCAUACUCAUUAAAUAAAUGUUACUACCUAAGAAUCAAAUGAA